GACGAACGCUGGCGGCGUGCUUAACACAUGCAAGUCGAACGGCAAGGCCCUGCUUUUGUGGGGUGCUCGAGUGGCGAACGGGUGAGUAACACGUGAGUAACCUGCCCUUGACUUUGGGAUAACUUCAGGAAACUGGGGCUAAUACCGGAUAGGAGCUCACGCUGCAUGGAGGGGGUUGGAAAGUUUCGGCGGUUGGGGAUGGACUCGCGGCUUAUCAGCUUGUUGGUGGGGUAGUGGCUUACCAAGGCUUUGACGGGUAGCCGGCCUGAGAGGGUGACCGGCCACAUUGGGACUGAGAUACGGCCCAGACUCCUACGGGAGGCAGCAGUGGGGAAUAUUGCACAAUGGGCGGAAGCCUGAUGCAGCAACGCCGCGUGCGGGAUGACGGCCUUCUGGGUGUAAACCGCUUUCGCCUGUGACGAAGCGUGAGUGACGGUAAUGGGUAAAGAAGCACCGGCUAACUACGUG
rnacentral:rRNA from 1 species